CUGACCUCAGAUCAGGCAAGAGCACCCGCUU
rnacentral:rRNA from 1 species